rnacentral:rRNA from 1 species
UACGAAGGGGGCUAGCGUUGUUCGGAUUUACUGGGCGUAAAGCGCACGUAGGCGGAUUGUUAAGUCAGGGGUGAAAUCCCGGAGCUCAACUCCGGAACUGCCUUUGAUACUGGCAAUCUUGAGGCUGGAAGAGGUUAGUGGAAUUCCCAGUGUAGAGGUGAAAUUCGUAGAUAUUGGGAAGAAACACCAGUGGCGAAGGCGGCUAACUGGUCCAGAUCUGACGCUGAGGUGCGAAAAGCGUGGGGAGCAAACAGG